AAACGUAGGAGGCGAGCGUUAUCCGGAUUUACUGGGCGUAAAGCGCAUGCAGGCGGUUUUCUAAGUCGGACGUGAAAGCUCCCGGCCCAACUGGGAGAGGCCGUUCGAAACUAGAAAACUUGCGGAUGGUAGAGGAGAGUGGAAUUCCCGGUGUAGUGGUGAAAUGCGUAGAUAUCGGGAGGAACACCAGUGGCGAAAGCGGCUCUCUGGGCCAUUCCUGACGCUCAGAUGCGAAAGCUAGGGGAGAGAACGGGAUUAGAUACCCCGGUAGUCC
rnacentral:rRNA from 1 species